rnacentral:rRNA from 1 species
AUGAAGAAGGAUAUUGCGGAGUAUGUAGGAGUGUGUGAUGCUUGUCAGAGAGUAAAGGCAGAGCAUCAAAAGCCAGCAGGAUUGCUACAGCCAUCGCCGAUACUCGAAUGGAAGUGGGAUAAACUAGGCAUGGAUUUUAUCACGGGAUUGCCCAGGACUCGUUCAGUAUAUGACUCGAUUUGGGUUGUAGUCGAUCGAUUGACGAAGGUAGCUCAUUUCAUCCCAGUGAAGACCACUUACACUAGUGCUAAGUUAGCGAAGAUAUACAUGACCAGGAUCGUAUGUCUGCACGGAGUUCCGAGGAGCAUUGUAUCAGAUAGACGAACCCAGUUUACCUCAAAGUUCUGGAAUCGGUUGCAUGAAACUUUGGGUACCAGGCUAGAGUUCAGUAUAGCCUUUCAUCCGCAGACAGAUGGACAGGCCGAGAGAGUCAAUCAGAUUCUGGAGGACAUGCUGAGAGCUUGUGCGCUAGAUUAUGGAUCUAGUUGGGACGACAAUUUGCCGUAUGCGGAGUUCUCUUACAACAACAGUUAUCAAUCGAGUUUGAAGAUGGCCCCUUUCGAAGCCUUGUACGGAAGGAGGUGCAGGACACCAUUAUUGUGGGAUGAAGUUGGAGACCGCCUGUUGUUUGGACCAGAUUUGAUUAAGGAGUCUGAACGGAAGGUGAAGUUGAUUCGCGAUAGGCUCAAGGUAGCCUAG